CUCAACGUAAUGCCAGGUAAAAAAAUAAAAAGUUGAUGUCCCAACCACCAAUAUCUAAUUCUGAACGAAAUCAACUACCAAGUCCAUCAAAUAAUGUCCCAAACUCCAGCCCACCAUCAAGUACUUUCCCAUAGUCCAGCCGAAAUAGUGAUUCAGAGCAUACUAUAUCAGCAUCACGAGAUAAUGUUCCAUCACCUCCAACUUCACCAUGCAACAGGCCCACAAUACACCCCAUUGGGAACAAAUCGUUUGAGUCAUGCAAGGCAAAUAGAGAAGUUAUGGAUUGUGUUACUAAAAUAUUCCCUGAUGCAAUAAAGUCAUACAGUGAUGCUCCUAGACAUAUGAAGGAUGUCUGGUUUAAUGAAUUUAGAAAAUCAUAUAAGUGGAAUCCUGAAGAUGAGACAACUAUUUUGAGCAUAUUUCACAGAAAGGCUGCC